GGCUGAAAUUCGCCUUCAUGAAGCUGGAAUUGCUAGUAAUGGCAGGUCAGCAUACUGCCGUGAAUACGUUCCCCGGGCCUUGUACACACCGCCCGUCACACCAUGAGAGUUGGAAAUACCCGAAGCCUGUGAGCUAACUUAAAGAGGCAGCAGUCGAAGGUAGAGCCCAAUGAUUGGGGUGAAGUCGUAACAAGGUAAC
rnacentral:rRNA from 1 species